rnacentral:SRP_RNA from 1 species
GCCGGGCAUGGUAGUGCAUGCCUGUAGUCCCAGCUACUUGGGAGGUUGAGGUAUGAGGAUCCCUUGAGUCUAGGAGGUCAAGGCUGCAGUGAGCUGUGCCACUGCACUCCAGCCUGGGCAACAGAAUGAGACCCUACCUCAA